rnacentral:rRNA from 1 species
UACAGAGGGUGCGAGCGUUGUCCGGAAUCACUGGGCGUAAAGGGCGCGUAGGCGGCUUUUCAAGCGUGCGGUGAAAGCUCGGGGCUUAACUCCGAGUCUGCCGUGCGAACUGGGAGGCUUGAGUCUGGUAGAGGUCGAUGGAAUUCCGGGUGUAGCGGUGGAAUGCGUAGAGAUCCGGAAGAACACCGGUGGCGAAGGCGGUCGACUGGGCCAGUACUGACGCUGAGGCGCGACAGCGUGGGGAGCAACAGG